rnacentral:tRNA from 1 species
AAUGAUGUGCCUGAAUAAAGGGUUAUUUUGAUAGAAUAAAUUAUAUAAAAAAAUUAUCUUCAUUA